UACGUAGGGGGCAAGCGUUGUCCGGAAUCAUUGGGCGUAAAGCGCGUGUAGGCGGCUUGGUAAGUCCGCUCUGAAAGCCCGGGGCUCAACCCCGGGAGGCGGGUGGAUACUGUCAAGCUCGAGUCCGGAAGAGGCGAGUGGAAUUCCUGGUGUAGCGGUGAAAUGCGCAGAUAUCAGGAGGAACACCAAUGGCGAAGGCAGCUCGCUGGGACGUGACUGACGCUGAGACGCGAAGCGUGGGGAGCAAACAGG
rnacentral:rRNA from 1 species